rnacentral:lncRNA from 1 species
CAAAAUACAAAACAGAAUUAAUUUAACUCCAUCAUAAACAUAGGUGCAGCAAUCUGCAUCUAAUAUUUGCUCCUUCAAAACCAAAACCUACGAAACCCUGCAUCUUCCUGCAGAACCAGAAAACAAAAACCAGGAAACAGCUUCAAAGAAAUACUGCAUCCCUUUGCAAAUCAAACUGUUGAACUGGGUGUUGAGCUGCGUCACCAGCACCAGGGGUGCUGCCUGCAGAGAUAACAACAGCUAGAAAACAACUAGGGGACCAGCAUCUAAGUAUUACAGGGUUUGCCUCCAAAGGCACCUUUUCUGGGUAGUUUCAAUGCUAAUCUGAAUCUUCUUACUCUCUUCCAAUAAGAACAUAUAUAAGUCCUCUUCUUGACAAAGACCAG